GAGGAAGUAAAAGUCGUAACAAGGUUUCCGUAGGUGAACCUGCGGAAGGAUCAUUAUCGAGAGAGGAGGUUCUGCCUCCCGGGGGCUUCGGCCCUCAACUCUUCACCCGCUGUGUAUCUACUUAAGUUGCUUUGGCGGGCUUCGGGCGCUGACCCGCGUGGGUUUCGGGGACUCUUCCCUACCGUCCGCGAGCGCCCGCCAGAGGCCCCUUCAUUCUGAUUUAUUCGUAUCGUCCGAGCAAACUUGAAAUGACAAAAAAAACUUUCAACAACGGAUCUCUUGGUUCCAGCAUCGAUGAAGAACGCAGCGAAACGCGAUAGGUAAUGUGAAUUGCAGAAUUCAGUGAAUCAUCGAAUCUUUGAACGCACAUUGCGCCCCUUGGCAUUCCGAGGGGCAUGUCUGUUCGAGCGUCAUUGCAUCCCUCAAGCGUAGCUUGGUAUUGGGAGUUGCCCCCCGCGGCGGCCCCGAAAAGCGUCGGCCGUCCGGCGUGGACUUUCGAGCGUAGUAACUCUCCCGUUCUGGAAUCCACGCUGCGGACGGGCCACAACCCCUUACAUUCAAUGAUUGACCUCGGAUCAGGCAGGGAUACCCGCUGAACUUAAGCAUAUCAAA
rnacentral:rRNA from 1 species